rnacentral:rRNA from 1 species
UACAUAGGGGGCAAGCGUUAAUCGGAAUUACUGGGCGUAAAGCGUGCGUAGACGGUUACAUAAGUCGGGGGUGAAAGCCCCGGGCUCAACCUGGGAAUUGCAUUCGAGACUGCGUAGCUAGGGUGCGGAAGAGGGAAGCGGAAUUUCCGGUGUAGCGGUGAAAUGCGUAGAUAUCGGAAGGAACACCAGUGGCGAAAGCGGCUUCCUGGUCCAGCACCGACGUUCAGGCACGAAAGCGUGGGGAGCAAACAGG